rnacentral:sRNA from 1 species
AGAUCGGAAUAUCUCUGUGGGCGGCCGCGGCGGCGGCUGGCUAUGAAUGAUUUCAUCUCAAAAUUGACCCAAAAAUCGCAUUGUAAUAUUUAAACAAAGUGAGUGUUGGCCGCUCUGCUAAUUGUCCCACUUUGCUACACUAAUCAACAGAAGUACUCGUAUAGUGCAAACAAGUAGGUAAUACUCGGGUACUACAAAAGAAAUGAAAAGAGUUCGCCGACUUGGAACCCGUUUGGGAAGCCAGCUUUUCCUCUCCAACUUUUACUUAGCCCCGUUUUUCGCUAACGAGGACAUUACACAAUUCAUAUUAAAAUGGCCGAGACAGAGACAAUGUUGUGUGCCACAUUCCACAGAAAGCUGUCAGCGGCAGGCAGCUUCAAUGACGUCAGACGGAAAUGAGAAUGGAAUGCAAAUUAUUUUCGCCAAAUACCGAGUACUCCAACAAGGGUCUGAGAUCAUUUGUGGAGAGUGGUGCGCCCCCGAAAAGAGCAGAAAACAACCCUCCAAAAUAAAAUACUUUUCUUACUGCAAUAAAGAGAUGGAUAUAUGUAUAUAUACAUAUAUUUUAAUGGGGAUUGGAGGGGGACCACACCCAGAACAAACUCUGAAUUGCGUUGUUUGGCGCCAAAUUGUAUCUUCUGUGUCCAUCGCAGCGAACACCGAAGAGACGGAAAUGGGGGGAUACACAGAUAGAGAUAGAGAUAGAGAGUGUGAGACUGAGAGAAGAGUUACGCAUUAUGCAACAGGACACACAUAUGCGUGUCUAGAACGUGUAAUUGAAAGAUGACAAUUAACAGCUAAAUUACCCGAGACAUGCAAUUGGGAUCUGAUAAGCAUAUACAUAUGUAUGUACAUACAUACUGUGAAAGCUCAACAAGCAGACCCCCUUUUCCCUCACUGAAAGGGGGGUGGCUUACUCUUGGUUUUGCUCAGCAAAUGUGUACAUAAAUUAUUUAUUUAGAUGCUCAGGAAGUUGCCAUAUGUACAUACAUGUAUAAUACAUAUAUGAAUAGCCCCGAUUCAUUCGCCGAGUGCAGGUCAUUCAUAAUCCAUACGAUGGUAAUACUCAUUCGCGGUGCUGUACUUAUUUUUUCGCCGAGUUUCCCAGCUGAAAAAAUUACCGAGAACUCGGAGCUGUUGCACUUAAUGGCCGCCAGACACAGUUCAGGUUUGUCAUUAGCCACGGCUGCAAUUGUCGCUAGGUUCUGACUCGGACUCGAUUCGAUCCACAGACGUGCGGAGACUACGAAACUUGAAUCCAUGGGGGUAAAUACACAUAGCCACAGACACAGUCAUAGCCAUGUUUUGAACUUGGAUUUUCCCCCUUAUAUGCGCAGAGGGUAUUUGUAAUUUUCGUCAGUUGUUUGUAACAGCAAGAAGAUGCUCGAAAAAUAUAACAAUGGUAUUUAAAGGCUCUAUGGGCGAACAGAAUAUUGAUGUAACCAAAAAACUAGCCCCCAAAGACUGGGAUAAAAUUUCAAUGGAUAUUCCAGUCCCUCAACUACUAGGGUAUGUUCACUUCGGGGUGCGUAAGUCAUUUUUCAUGCUUUUGUUGCAAAAUGUAUUAGCUUUUGUUGAUAUAGUGGUUGUUGCUAUGGUUGUUGCUGUCCCCUCAAGCGUUGCGGGGUCAUUGUUGGUGUGGGUUUUGUUGUCGCUACGGGGCCGGCUCUCCAACAGGCGGCUUGGCUUGGCUCGCUAAUUAUUUGGUAUGGCUGUCUGUCAGGUGUGUUAUGUACUCGGAUAACGCAGUUAAAUAAGUAUGUAUCUGCACACAGCCAUGCACUGCGAGUGCAUCGUGUCCCCGGAGUUUCUUGCACGUGUAAAUGUAGAGUAUGGAAACAAAAAAAACUGCUGCGCCGACAACAACCAGUUGAUUGUUCUUGUCUUUUUCUUGUUGUUUUAUCUCGUUUCUCUAGAGCAACAAGUUUUUUUGUGUUUGUCGUUUCUCGUUUCUCCUUUUUCGUUUUCCUUUUGUGAUGAGUUUCUGUCUUAUUUGCUCUCUUGUAUACAUACAUCACAUUUCGCUUAAGGCCGAAGAUCCAGGAGGUCGACAAUAACAGGGGGACGUACGAAUGCGGGAGUGAAUCGUUUUAUUUGAAUCAUCCCAUUUCCAUGACAUCAGAGAGAGAUCCGAUCGGAGCAAUGUGCUUUUUGUGACGCCAAUCAAAAUAUGAGCUUGAAUUACAGGAAUCUGCAGACUCUGAGAUUAUUAUGCCAGAAAAUAAGCAGAGCGUCCACGGGCAGGAAAACAAACCAAUGAAAGGCGAAGGCGACUCCUAUCACCGCUCCCGGAAUCACAGUUCUCCCCCCUCCACUAAGCAUAGCAUGAGUAUAGAGGAGAUAAAUGCUGAAUUCCAGUUUUUGUGGCGGCGUUGGAAGCUGAACGGAAGGCGAUGGAUGAUGUCAUCAAACUUCAAUAGCAAGACAAACAACACAGUCACGAGGAGCUCAAAGCGUUCUCUCCGUUGAAAUUUCCCAGAAGGGGUUCAGGGGCGCCGUCUGUCUGCCCUAAGGCGUAACGCUGGAAAUACGCUUUU